AUGCUGGAGCGCAGGCUAUCGCCGUGGUGGGCUUCCAUGAUGUCGCGGGGCGAUCGGCUGGCCAUGUGCCGUGAUGUGCUCUCGGCCAUGCCCACACACAUCAUAAUUGCGAUGGCCAUCAAGCCGUCGACCCUCAAGCGUAUCAACCGCCUGAUACGUAGCUUCUUGUGGCAUGGCCGCAAAGAUGUGAGCAACAGUCACUUUAUGGUCAGUUGGCGCCGGGUAUGCAUGCAUGUUUCCCUCGGCGGCCUCGGCAUCCCGGACCUUCAUCGUGCCGACAUCCCACUGCGCGCCCGGUGGAUGUGGCUGCAGAGAACGGAUGCCUCACACCCGUGGCAACACCUUCACAUCCCACGCUGGCCGGAGGUUCAGGCCAUCUUCAAGGCCUCAACCACUUGGAUGAAGGAAAUAUGCCCUAGAGGCAAUAAUAAAGUUAAUAUUUAUUUUCUUAUUUCAUGA
rnacentral:rRNA from 1 species